UUUCCGGAAGAAGAGGAGGAAAUGAAAUCCACAGAAAUCAAUCUGAAAACAUGGGCUGUUCUCCUAGCAAUCCUCAUAUACCUCUGGGGCAGAAAGGAAGCAUAAAAAGCUCACCUCCUUACACCAGGGAACUAACCGUCCAGCUGAGUGAGCAUGGUGCCUGCAUGGGCAAUGAAUGCUGCUUCAAGACAGCACAAAAGUGGAGGCCACGGUCCCAAGACUUACAGAUGCAAAUGAAAAUAACUACUUUGCCACUUAUUUAAGGAAAAAAGAAGAAAGGAAUCAUAGCACAGAGAAUAUAUUAUUUCUCCAAGCCAGCCAACACCACAAAUAGAGGAAACUUUUCCAGCUGAUGGAAUGACAACUUCAGUCAAUUCUCCCAUGGGGAAAAAUGCUUUUUAUGAACACUGUUCCUUCCAAUUCAGCUCCAUUUCACAGUGCAUGAUUAUCUUCUAUUUUAUUGUCACCAAGGCACCAGAGAAAACAAAUAGAAUAAAGACAACCAUUAUUAACGGUAA